GAACUGGUUUUCAUUAACGUAUAAGAACAAGUUUUAAGAAUGAUGAAUAAUGACCUGCUGUAUAGUUUAUACAAAGAAAUACGAAGGUCACGUAAAUAUUCUAUGAAUACCAAAAUUAUAGCUGAAAGAUUUAAAGACAAACCAAUGUCUCCAGCCGAAUCUGUAAUAUAUUGGACUGGAUAUGUUAUUUGGCAUAAAGGCAACAAUAACCUGUAUUAAUGGCCCAUAAAUUAUUAUCAGUAUUUAUUUUGCUAUUGUACAAGACAGAUAUGAUAACAAGAAUUAUCUAUAAAAACUUUUUUAUAUAACAUUAUAAAGAAAUAAGGUCUACUGUA